UUUGGAAUAUUGAACCUACUUUAUAAUUAUGUUAAUCUUGCUUUAUGACUGAAUGAAGCUGACAUUGGGGAAAGACACAGCUUGUGUGUGUGCCUUCAUAGCACGCUCACAACAAUGUCACAAAGGGACUGAGGAUCAUGAGGAGCAGCAGUCUCUCCUCAUUGAAGAGGCAAGUUUCCUGUGCUUCAAGUCCCCACAGGCUAAUAAUGCUGCCUAAUCAGACAGAAGAUAAUGUGGAUGCAAGUGAUCUUAAGCAGUUUUUUGAGACCAACUAUUCUCAGAUAUAUUUUAUCUUCUAUGAAAAUUUUAUAACACUGGAAAAUAGUUUGAAAUUAAAAGGGAAUAAUAAAUCACAAAGAGAGGAGCUGGACUCUAUCCUCUUUCUUUUUGAAAAAAUACUGCAAUUUCUACCUGAACGAAUUUUCUUUCGAUGGCAUUACCAGAGUAUAGGCUCAACUUUAAAGAAGCUUCUACACACUGGAAAUUCUAUUAAGAUAAGAUGUGAAGGAAUCAGGCUGUUUCUUCUGUGGCUUCAAGCACUUCAGACAAACUGUGCAGAAGAGCAGGUGCUAAUUUUUGCUUGCCUUGUGCCUGGUUUCCCAGCGAUCAUGUCAUCCCGAGGUCCCUGUACGCUGGAGACACUCAUCAAUCCUAGCCCUAGUGUAGCGGAUGCAAAGAUAUAUCCAGAAGAAAUCACUCCACUACUGCCAGCCAUAUCAGGGGAAAAGAUUGCUGAGGACCAAACAUGCUUUUUUCUUCAAAUACUGUUGAAGUAUAUGGUUAUUCAGGCUGCAAGCUUGGAGUGGAAGAAUAAGGAGAAUCAAGAUACUGGUUUUAAAUUUCUUUUUACAUUGUUUCGAAAGUAUUAUCUUCCUCAUUUAUUUCCAUCAUUUACUAAGUUAACAAACAUCUACAAACCCAUACUUGACAUCCCCCAUUUGAGACCAAAGCCAGUGUAUAUUACUACAACUCGAGACAGUGAAAACAUUUACAGUACAAAAAUUCCAUACAUGGCAGCUCGUGUUGUUUUUAUUAAAUGGAUUGUAACUUUCUUUUUGGAAAAAAAGUAUCUAACUACAACACAAAACACUAAAAAUGGAGUUGAUGUACUACCCAAAAUUAUACAGACUGUUGGUGGUGGUGUGGGUCAAGAGAGGGCGCCGGAGCUGGAUGGUUGCGGGCCUGCAGAGCAGGACAAAAACCAUUCCAACAGCAGCACCUUAUCUGACCGAAGACUCAGCAACUCCAGCCUUUGUAGCAUUGAGGAAGAGCACCGCACUGUGUAUGAAAUGGUACAGCGGAUUCUCUUGUCAACGCGAGGUUAUGUCAACUUUGUGAACGAAGUCUUUCGCCAGGCAUUUUUGUUGCCUUCCUGUGACAUAGCUGUAACAAGGAAGGUAGUUCAAGUGUAUAGAAAGUGGAUCCUCCAGGACAAACCUGUGUUCAUGGAAGAACCAGAUAAAAAAGAAAUUGAACAAGAAGAUGCUGAAAAAUUAGGAUUUUCAGAAACUGACAACAAAGAGACUUCAUCUGAAAGUUCUCGUCAUAAGCGAUCUUCCAGUUGGGGACGAACAUACUCCUUCACGAGUGCAGUGAGCAGAGGAUGUGUGACAGAAGAGGAAAAUAAGAACGUGAAAGCUGGAGCCCAGGCUAUGCUGCAGGUAUUUUUGACAAACGCAGCAAACGUCUUUUUGCUGGAACCAUGUCCUGAAGUUCCCAUGCUCUUGAAAGAACAAGUCGAUGCUUGUAAAGCUGUUUUGAUUAUUUUUAGGCGCAUGAUAAUGGAGCUUACAAUGAAUAAAAAGACAUGGGAACAGAUGUUGCAAAUACUACUCAGGAUAACAGAAGCUGUCAUGCAGAAGCCAAAGGAUAAACAAAUAAAGGAUUUGUUUGCUCAGAGCUUGGCAGGGUUACUGUUUAGGACACUUAUGGUGGCAUGGAUCCGAGCAAACCUCUGUGUGUACAUUUCUCGAGAGCUCUGGGAUGACUUCCUUAGGGUGCUGUCCUCCCUCACGGAAUGGGAAGAACUCAUAAAUGAGUGGGCCAACAUCAUGGACUCCUUGACAGCAGUGCUUGCGAGAACUGUUUACGGAGUUGAGAUGACAAACCUACCUCUGGACAAAUUAAGUGAACAGAAGGAAAAGAAGCAGCGAGGCAAAGGCUGUGUUCUGGAUUCUCAGAAAGGAACCACUGUGGGGAGGUCCUUUUCUCUCAGCUGGCGGAGCCACCCAGAUGUGACUGAGCCGAUGCGAUCUAGGAGUGCCACCACAUCUGGGGCACCAGGAGUUGAGAAAGCAAGAAAUAUCGUUCGCCAAAAAGCAACCGCUAAGCGAAGCCAGUCUAUCAGCAACUGUGUCCACCUUUCUGAGGCUUUGCCUGCCACUAAAAGCGUCCCGCUCCUCCUUCACACCGUGAGCGCUCUCUUACCUGGUCUGUCUUACUCCUCUUGUUCUCACAGGCUGUCAGAAGUGGAAGAAUGUCAGCAGUCAGAAAAUGCACCUGCAGCUGAAUCUGGCUGCCUGGUGGUGGAGCAGCAGCACAUCACUCGGAGCAGCAGCACACCUGAUGUCACUGAGCCACUGCACUCAGAUUCUUCUCAGGGCCCAAAGGUAGAAAACUUACAGACUUUGAGUUCUUCAGAGUCCAGGCCUAUUCAAGAAAAUAAAGGACAUGCGAAGAAAGAACAUGAAGGAAUAACAAUCUUAGUUCGAAGAAGCAGCAGUCCUGCUGAAUUGGAUUUAAAAGAUGAUUUGCAGCAGACACAAGGAAAAUGUAGGGAAAGACAGAAGAGUGAAAGUAUCAGCAGUGACACAGCUCUGGGCUAUAGCAAUGAGGCAGAGCUGUCCAUGAGCCCAUGGUCAACCUGUGAGGAAGACCCAGAACUGAACACUCCCACAGAUGUUGUGACUGACUCCGAUGCCCGCCAUUGGUUACAACUGAGUCCCACCGAUGCUUCCAACUUAACAGAUAGCAGUGAGUGCCUUGCAGAUGACUGUAGUAUAAUUGCUGGAGGGAACCUCACUGGUUGGCACCCCGACUCUGCUGCUGUGUUAUGGCGAAGAGUCUUGGGAAUCCUCGGGGAUGUGAAUAAUAUCCAGUCACCCAAGAUUCAUGCCAAAGUAUUUGGCUAUCUCUAUGAACUCUGGUACAAACUAGCAAAGAUACGGGAUAAUCUGGCAAUAAGCCUAGAUAACCAGUCCUCUCCCUCUCCACCGGUCCUGAUCCCACCACUCAGAAUGUUUGCAUCAUGGCUAUUUAAGGCAACAACGUUGCCAAAUGAAUAUAAGGAAGGCAAGCUACAAGCCUACAGACUGAUAUGUGCCAUGAUGACCAGACGCCAGGACGUUCUACCAAACUCGGACUUCCUGGUGCAUUUUUACCUUGUGAUGCACCUGGGAUUAACCAGCGAGGAUCAGGAUAUCUUAAACACCAUUAUAAGGCACUGUCCACCCCGCUUCUUCUCCUUGGGUUUGCCUGGCUUCUCAAUGCUGGUAGGGGACUUCAUCACAGCUGCUGCCAGGGUCCUCAGUACAGACACGCCAGCGACACCUCAUUCAGAAGCUCUCACCAUUCUCGGUUCUCUUGUCUGCUUUCCAAAUACCUACCGGGACAUCCCUUUACUACAGUCUGUGCCGGAAGUUAAGGAAGUUAUCACAGGAACCGAAGAUGUCAAGCAUUACCUCAUAAAUAUUUUACUGAAGAAUGCCACAGAGGAACCAAAUGAAUGUGCAAGAUGCAUUGCUAUUUGCUCCCUCGGAGUCUGGAUAUGCGAAGAACUUGCACAGUGUACAAGCCAUCCUCAGCUGAAAGAGGCUAUCAACGUGAUAGGUGUCACUUUGAAGUUUUCUAACAAAAUCGUGGCUCAGGUGGCCUGUGAUGUUCUUCAGUUGCUGGUUUCCUACUGGGAAAAGCUUCUGAUGUUUGAAACCUCUCUGCCUCGGAAAAUUGCUGAAAUCCUUGUGGCCACAAUUGCUUUUCUUUUACCAAGUGCAGAGUACUCCUCGGUGGAAACAGAUAAGAAGUUUAUUGUGUCCUUGCUACUCUGCCUUUUGGAUUGGUGCAUGGCAUUGCCAGUGAACACCCUUCUCCACCCAGUGUCCACGGUGGCCCUGGAGGAGCAGCAUGCAUCCAGAGCUCCUUUGCUGGAUUAUAUCUAUAGGGUCCUGCACUGCUGUGUUUGUGGCUCAAGCACAUACACCCAACAGAGUCACUAUACACUGACCCUAGCCGACCUGUCAUCCCCAGAUUAUGACCCCUUCUUACCACUGGCGAAUGUGAAGAAUUCAGAACCAGUCCAAUAUCAUGCAUCAGCAGAUUUGGGCAACCUGCUCACAGUUGAAGAAGAGCGGAAGAGGAGGAGCUUGGAGCUGAUCCCUCUGACCGCCCGCAUGGUGAUGGCCCACCUGGUGAAUCACCUGGGCCACUUCCCGCUGCGUGGGGGCCCUGCCGUGCUGCACAGCCUAGUCAGUGAAAACCACGACAACGUACAUGCGGAGGCUCCCGAGCUGUCCUCCGAGGUGUUCCGGAGCCCAAACCUACAGCUCUUUGUGCUUAACGACAGCACCCUCAUCUCCUACCUUCAGACACCCUCCGAAGGGCCUGCGGGGGGCUCCCCAGGGGGCACCCUGUCAGACGUCCGAGUAAUUGUGCGGGAUAUCUCAGGGAAGUACUCUUGGGAUGGGAGGGUUUUGUAUGGACCUUUGGAGGGCUGCUUAGCACCCAGCAGCACAAAUCCAGCGUUUCUGAUUUCGGGCUGGCAACCUCAAGCUUUGGGAGCUCAGAAAGAUUUUUCUCAAACUGAGGAGGGAGAUGAUGUCCUUGACAAAUUACUUGAAAACAUUGGCCACACGAGUCCGGAAUGCCUUUUACCAUCACAGUUAAAUCUAAAUGAGCCCUCCCCACCCCCUCGGGGAAUGAACCGUGACCAGGAGAAGGAAAUCAUCGAGGUCAUUUUGCGCCAGAAGGCCCAAGAAGAUGACUAUAUCCAGAGGUGUAACUCUGACUUGGCCAUGAAAGUCUCCAGCCAGGAGCAGCCCUCCCCAGUGGAGCCACCAGGACCCUUUUAUUUCUGCAGGUUGUUGCUUGAUGACUUGGGGAUGAAUUCUUGGGACAGAAGAAAGAAUUUCCAUCUUUUGAAGAAAAAUUCAAAACUAUUGAGAGAGCUAAAAAAUCUGGACUCACGUCAGUGCCGUGAAACGCACAAAAUUGCAGUGUUUUACAUUGCUGAAGGUCAAGAAGACAAGUGUUCAAUCCUUUCCAAUGAUAGAGGAAGCCAAGCAUAUGAAGACUUUGUUGCCGGACUUGGAUGGGAGGUGGAUCUCUCAACCCACUGCGGGUUCAUGGGUGGACUUCAGCGCAACGGCAGCACAGGGCAGACUGCCCCUUACUAUGCUACCUCGACUGUGGAAGUGAUUUUCCAUGUUUCAACUCGGAUGCCAUCAGACUCAGAUGAUUCACUCACCAAAAAGCUCCGUCACUUGGGGAACGACGAGGUCCACAUCGUCUGGUCUGAACACUCCAGGGAUUACCGCAGGGGCAUUAUCCCGACCGCCUUUGGAGACGUUUCAAUCAUUAUUUACCCAGUGAAGAAUCACAUGUUCUUUAUCGCAAUCACAAAGAAACCUGAGGUUCCGUUUUUUGGGCCUCUGUUUGACGGAGCCAUAGUGAGUGGGAAGCUCCUGCCAAGCCUUAUAUGUGCCACGUGCAUCAAUGCCAGCAGGGCCGUGAAGUGCCUCAUCCCACUCUACCAGAGCUUCUAUGAAGAGCGGGCUCUGUACCUUGAAGCAAUAAUUCAGAACCACCGAGAAAUCAUGACGUUUGAGGAUUUCGCCGCCCAAGUCUUUUCUCCCUCGCCCAGCCCCUCCCUCAGCGGAAUGGAACUGCUUUAAAGGUUGUGUCUGGACCCUAAAACCUUGGAGGAAUCCACUUGUGUCUGCUGAUAAAUGAAUCCCCAAAUCACUAUUACAGUCACAGCUAGCAAUUUGGUAGUAGAGGACUACAGAUUAAAAUAUGAGAAGUCCUCAUUGCAAUGUUGGAGCAAGGGCCUUGGCUGCCAGCCUGAGUGGCUACCUCACAGCGCCUCUUGGAAGGAGGAGAUGAAUGAGACUCCCCUCUGUUCCCACCCUCAACCCCCAAACACAGAGACUCCGGGAACAUCCCUGCUCUGCUAGUGCCCUCAACAUAGCUUCCCAGUAACGGAUUUCUGAAGUUAAAGGUGAACUCCACCAGAAUGUCUUGGGUUGGACUUUCUCUCCAGGCCACGUCAUCUGACCCUAGAAUCUCACACAACUUGGGCUUCCAAAGAGGAAGAGGGGAAAGUCACCAACAACCAGUGACAAACCCACUCUCAUGUUGAUGAGAGUGUUGAUGUGGCUGCUUCAGGCAGGGAUGGCAGAAGAAGAUUCUGGGCUUUUGGGAGGGGAUGGAGGGCAGCUGGUUUCUGUACCCCGCGUUGUUUAUAAACCUAAGCAAGAUUCACAGAAGAACCGACAAAAACAGUUGUUAAACUGAGGAAUUUUCUCUGCAUUGAUUUCUUUAGUUCUUAUGUUAGGAUUUAUGGUUUACUCAAAAAUUUCAUCAUCAUGGAAAUUGGCUUUCCCUAGAGUUGUUUGCCCAGGAGAAGUUUUAUCUGAGUUGCUGAGUGUUUUCCACCUGGUGCCUGAUGCCCACUAACUGGGGAGAGGUUUUCCUGGCCAUCCUGGAAGCCCUAGAUGCCUCUGGAAACAGGGUCCUGUCCCCGUGAAAGUCAGGAAGCUUCCAGGGCCCAGCUUAGCACAGCGCCAUGUCAACACGGGAGGUGCACACCAGCACAGGCCCUAGGCUGGGACAGGCACCCCCGUGGUGUCCAUCUGCCUCCAGAAGCUUCUCCCUGCUCAGGGAGGGCCACGGCACAAAUGGGGGAUUUCUAAUUAUUUGGCUCCAAAGAAGAUAUGUUGAGCCUGUUUAAAAAAAAAAAGAAGAAGAAGAAGAUAUGAAAAGCCCUACCUUCCAUCUGUGCUUGCCCAGCAUCCUUGCUGUGGCUCUGAGGGUGUCAGCAACAGAAAAAUCAUUUAGGAAGACCUGUUUGGCCCUCUGUGUCUCACCUCAGCCUGCAGCCUGUCUCUGGAGUAAGCCCGUAUUUCAGAGCAUGGGGCAACCGCUAAGGACCCCAGAAACAUCAGUCCAUGCAAGGGUGCCUGCCCUCUACUGUCUGCCUCUCUGCUCUGUGCCCACUUGUGUGUUACCCCCAGGGGCUUUGGUCACCUCUGGUGAGUCUCCUGAGCCCCCUCAGCGCAUCAGAGUGGCUGUUUUCACUGACCAGCCAGUUCUUUCCAUCAUCCAUUGGGUUGGUUUGGCUGGUACCUAACACUUGCAGGAGAAAUGAACAGAUCCAGGAAGGAGCCAGGCCUGCUUCUGGGAACAAGUGAAGAAGGACUGAGAAAUUCCUAUUGCAAGGAUACACCUAAGUUAGAAUUUGUUUCUCAGCUUUAUAGAGGACUGCAGGUAGGGCCAGAGGCCCAGGCUCACAGGCAGAGCAGCUUGGGAGCCACCCAAACCUCAGAGAAACAGAAGUAAGCCUUAGUCGCUUUGGGCUGUUCUGUAAAGGGGCCCAGUUGGUUUGCUCACUGGGGGCUUAAUGGCACUAAUGGGUGACUGAAUGUCACAGCAUGUUCUGUUGUGUCAGCAAAUGCUGCAAUUCUCAUCUUCCCCACCCCUACCCCACCCGCCCAUCCCCACCUUUUUAAUAAUUUGGACUUUCUGGUCAGCACGGUUUGCCUCCUAUCGCUCAUACUCCAGGCUGGUGUUCAAGCUGCUUCACGGCAUAUUUACAAAGUGCCCAGACCUCAUUCCUGUGGGGAGGGCAUCACAGGUGCCUGGGCCCCAGAGUCCCAGGUAGGCUCUGACAGCAGAUAGCUUCAGAAUAUUUCAUUUCCAGGCUCUAGAAAUCCCUGAUGCAGAAUUCUUGGAUUUAGAUGAAGUGUCAAGACUUAGAAGUUGUACUGAACUCCCCUGGACUUAAUUGUUGUGCUCCAGGAUUCCAUUUUAUCUCCCAGACCCAGUCCUUCUAACCUGCAAGUGGGAAGUUCAGUUGUAGGCAGCAAAUACCUAGACCCUCCUGUAACCCUACAGAUUUUAACAUCUCUAGGACCCCAGACUCCAGCCAGUGGUUUGGGUGCUGGAGCUGCUUCAAGUCCACUGUCAGCAGUAGCAUUGGUUUGGAAUAGGGGAGCAGGGAAUCUAGCAACCAGGUUUGCUUACAAUCACAUGGACCUGAAUCGUUCUUGUUAUUUGGGGUGGAAAAUUGAAAUGAUCAAGUUCUUUUUUUUCCACUUAGAAAAGCAAAUAUUGUGCUUUUGCAAUAAAUGCCUUUCCAGCAAAAUUAUGGAGGGUCACUUAUCCAGUGGGGACCCAUCUGAGUCACAGUGCUGACUUGUCAUAUUAGUAGGUCAGCCAUCUGGACUCAAAAGUGGCCCUGAUCAGCCCCCAAAAUGGGUAGGACUCGCCAGCUCCCAGGCAGGGCCAGGCCAGCAUCCCCACUUCUCUGCACACCCAUUUCCAUCCAAAGCAAAGUUGAUGUUCCAUAAUUUCACUGAGAAGGUUUUUGUACUUUUAAAAAAACAAAAUGAUGACUUUUUUAAAAUAGUAGAAUCUGAAGUAGACAGUAGUGAGGAAAUUUAGCUUGGAUCAGUGACUGUCACAGUGUCUUCAAGCAGUCAAGGCUGCAGCCACUAAGAGCCACAGGGAGGAAGGAGAUUUAAGCCUUGCCUUCACAAGAGGGGCUGACCAAACCCUCAUCCUUACAAACAAGAGACCAUGCAGAUCCACAGACUGUGCAAAUCACGUCUUCCUGACCUUCCUCCGGUGUGGCCACCUGCACUUCACUUCCUGUUGUGUUUGUAUCAUCUGGAGGCUUAAGGGAUCCUUUAAAACUUCCUGUGACGUCUUAUAUGUAACCGUGUCAUGACUAUAUCUACUGAGGGGAAAUGUCCACACACAGAGGGAAGUGCAACAUGAAACAACCACUGUUCUAGCUGCCCUCCGUAUCUGUGUAUGACAUGCACAGUAAGUGAAUGUUUUCUUAUGGCUUCAGGUCUACAACAUUUAGUACAUGUAAAUAAGGAAAAAGAAUUGAUACCUAUGGUAUAUUAAGUUAUAGUAUGUCAUAUUUUUUUUUUGCUCUUAUUUAAUUUGCCUAAUGCCUCACAUCUGGGUUUAGGCCUCAGUGGGGUAAACCCCUCCAUACAACCUACUUCUGCAGGUGUGUGUGCCACACCCGGAAAAGCACACAGCUACACUGCUGACUGCCGCUCGACUCUCCAGUUUACCCUCUUUUUCUCUUUCAUUCUGAUUUACUGUGAUGACUUAAUAAAGUAGAAAAACAGCA